rnacentral:rRNA from 1 species
UUAUCUCUGUAGAGUCUGCAUAUCAAUAAGCGGAGGAAAAGAAACUAACUAGGAUUCCCUCAGUAACGGCGAGUGAAGCGGGAAGAGCUCAAAUUUGAAAUCUUCAAGGUUCUACCUUGACGAAUUGUAGUUUAAAGAAGUGUUUUCUGUUGGAGUUUUGGUAAAAGUUCUUUGGAAUAGGACAUCAUAGAGGGUGAGAAUCCCGUAUUUGACCAUUAUUUCCAGCUUUGUGAUACACUUUCAAAGAGUCGGAUUGUUUGGGAAUGCAGUCCAAAAUGGGUGGUAAAUUUCAUCUAAAGCUAAAUACUGGCGAGAGACCGAUAGCGAACAAGUACCGUGAGGGAAAGAUGAAAAGAACUUUGAAAAGAGAGUUAAACAGUACGUGAAAUUGUCAAAAGGGAAGCGUUUGACACCAGUGUUGUUUUCUCGAAAAUCAAUUAAAAAAGGCAGGAUUUUGUGUUGUAUUGUACUUUAUCAGCUUUCUGCACUCUUUUCUUGUCUUUUUUAAUGCACUUUUCGUUUAACAAGUCAACAUCAAUUUCUUUUGUUGUAAAAGGGUCAUUGGAAGGUGGCUUUCUUUUCGGAGAAAGUGUUUAUAGCCUUUGGCCUCUGCAAUCGGAGAGAUUGAGGUCUGCAGCGUAGAUCCUUCGGGGUUAGAUACACUUUGUGCUAAGUUAUAGCCUUUCAUAGACAACUUGUUGACUAUGAUCAGUCAUGUAGCUUACUCGCUUAUGCUAUUUUACCUACGCUUAGGAUGUUGAAGAUGUAGCACAUCAU